ACUGUGCAUGCAUGGAGGCCAGCUAAGUGGUGCGGCACCCUCUCUACAAGAUGCUGGGUUGGCUGCCGCCAGUUCUUGAAGGAUGUUGGGUGCUGGUGGCAGUCUACUUCUGGGCCAGAAGGAAAGAGAAGGUGAGCAAACAGCAGUGGUAAGAGGAACAGGAGUUGGACCAGGGCACUCUCGUGAUCAUCAGGAGACCUUCUGCUGAGCUUUGGCCUCAAUGGGUGUCAGACAAUGCUGACCCCCAACACUGGCCCUUACAACUAAGACUGCUGAUUUGGAAAAUUUCACCAACAGAAAGAAACCAGAACCUCUUUAUACUGUGAAAAAGGAAUCCUAACAGAAGUACAGUUCAGAACACAAGGCAUGACAUAUUGCACAAGAAAACCAAGUAUUGGGGGAAAGUGACCGAUCAUAGGAUGUAAUGAGAAUUGAGCCCCUUCUUCAUCUACAUAUCAGUAGAAGAUUGUGGAGAGGAAAAAACCCACUUUGGAUGUAUGUGAAUAACAGAGAGAGGACCCUCUUGUCACUAACUUCUUUAUUAAAGAUUAUCACUUUAAAGAUUUUAGUUUUAUUUAAUUUUAUUUAUGUAAACUUCUUU